CUACGGAGGGGGCUAGCGUUGUUCGGAAUUACUGGGCGUAAAGCGCGCGUAGGCGGAUUGAUCAGUCAGGGGUGAAAUCCCGGAGCUUAACUCCGGAACUGCCUUUGAUACUGUCAAUCUUGAGUUCGAGAGAGGUGAGUGGAAUUCCUAGUGUAGAGGUGAAAUUCGUAGAUAUUAGGAAGAACACCAGUGGCGAAGGCGGCUCACUGGCUCGAUACUGACGCUGAGGUGCGUAAGCGUGGGGAGCAAACAGGAGUAGAAACCCGAGUAGUCC
rnacentral:rRNA from 1 species